rnacentral:rRNA from 1 species
UACGGGGGGAGCAAGCGUUGUUCGGAUUUACUGGGCGUAAAGGGCGCGUAGGCGGCCACCGCAAGUCAAUUGUGAAAUCUCCGGGCUUAACCCGGAAAGGUCAACUGAUACUGCGGGGCUAGAGUGCGGAAGGGGCAACUGGAAUUCUCGGUGUAGCGGUGAAAUGCGUAGAUAUCGAGAGGAACACCUGCGGCGAAGGCGGGUUGCUGGGCCGACACUGACGCUGAUGCGCGAAAGCUAGGGUAGCAAACGGG